AUCAAUUAAUUCUUAGCUGAUCUCUCACUGAGGACAAGAUCCUUUGUACAUCCAUGCCCACUUUUACUUGAUGUCUCAACUGUAAAUUUUGUCCUUCAACUUCUAACCUACCUCUGAUUCCCUCCUGCCAACAGGAGACUCUGAUUCCAUCUUCGCCAAGAAUUCCCAGGACUACUUCAAACAUCAGUUCAGCAGUCUCUCUGGGUCAUCAGCUCCCUACCUUCAAUGAUGCCACAGCGACCUGUGUAAUUUCUCCCUAUGUGAAGAGGAUCCCCUUAUACUCUUCUGAUGUGCAAAACUUGGUGUCAAAAUCACCAUCCAGCAGUCUCAUGACCUGAUUGAUAGGAUUCCAGGACUGUGCCAGUACACCCUAGCUUUCUAUGGCUCCUUUAAACCUUGCCAACAUGACCUAAAACUCAUUAGCCAACAUGCUCAGUGAGAUCCAGCUUCAGCAUGGGAUCUAAAUCCACUUCCUGAUGGAGCCUGUUCCUGGGUUACAUUCCGAAUUCCUCCUCAUGCUGACCCUGCUACGUGGCACCUGUGAACCCCAUAGGCAUUUCUCCUGCAGCUUGUGUCUCUGGCACCCCACAGCAGGUUCCUGCUCACUUUAUGCCUCCUCCUCAGUUGCCUGGGAAUCAUUUCCAAAGUCAGUCUUCCUUUAGAUGCCCUGUUCAUGACUAUGGUGGGAUCACUGCCAUCUGCAUGACCACAAAUCCAAACCUGCCCUGUCACAGACUUGACAACCUCAAUUCGUCAGCCGCUAGGUCUCUGAAAUCGAAUAUUCCUGAACACAUGGCCAACAAUGUGUCCUCAUCAUUGGAAAUUAGCAGCUCCCAAACAUUAACUGACCUCCUCACUGCAACAAGUCUUGCAACUCCUUCAUUUUACAUUCUGGAGUCUGGUUCGGUCACAUCAUUGUUCUGCCCAAAAACCUGAAGAGCUUUUCUUUACACAAAACACCACUGUUCUACCUGCUCUUGCCCAACAAUGGAGAGUAUGACACAAACCUGCAUUCCUUUUCUAACACCAAGGAUAAUAUAAUAUAUAUAAUAUUAUACACACACACACAUAUAUAUAUAUAUAUAUAUAUAUAUAUGCCAACAGGACUGCUCACUGAUGUAUGACAACUCUGCCAUGGAACUCUCUUUUGGUGCCUCUUUACAAGUCAUCAUAAUUCACCUCAAGUGGGACACCUCUUGGUCUGAAACCCACAGUGCCCUGUAUCUACCUCCUGAAGAAUAGAAUUCACUCUGCCUCAUGUGAAUUGAUGCUAACUUUCUGUGUCAUCUUCCAUUUGAGUCCAGAUACAAAGGUCAGAUUUCCAUUUACCAUGGUAUGUUUCUGUUAGACAAAGCAAUAAGAACUUAUGCAACUGAAGCAUGAAGACACAGAAGACUGCCUCACACAUCAGCACUUCCUGAACUGUGAAUGCAAAAGUACUUUUUCAUCUCUCAAAACCUAGAAAUAUCUAUCUGAGUUUGGCUUAUACAUUUCCAUUCCUAGAAAUUCUGCUUGUUCUGUGCCAUUUGUGGCCCUCAAAAUGAGAUAAUCAUUCUCAAAAUCUCUGUAGAGAAGGAGGAACUGAGUUUCCUUGAAGAUACCACAAGACUGUACAGCAUGUCUAAUACUGGAAAACUCUUUGUGUGUGCACAAUUCAAGUGCUUCUUCAUAAAGACAAAAUGCAGUCAUUAGAAUAAACUCUCUUGACUUAGUUAAAAUACUUCCAUUCAUACAGCUGUUAGGCACAUGGUCUGGACAUCAUGUUCUCAUUCAUCAUUGGGAAGCUAUGAUUCUCGAUCUACUCACAGGGAAUUGUACAGAGAAAGACCUAGGCAGUGCACAUCAAACAGGAGCCCACAAUCAGGGAGGUUGAGAAGGCCCAGUUCUUCCUGGAUACAUAAAAUUUCCUCCUUUUCUUGGCAUAGCAAUAUUCAGUCCUUCCAUUUUGUGUGGGAAUGACUGUAUGGAUUAUAUGGUAUUCUUACUUUACCUACCAAGAGAAAACUGCUUGUUAUAACUCCCUGGCACUGUCAAUCUCACUGUCUCACAUAAGCUAAGUGAAGCCCUCACCCCAUUGAAUGACUCUCAUCCUUCUCUCUGACCUCAGUGUUUCCCCACCUUGACUGCUCCAGUAUUUUUCUGGAGUACCAUAUAAAAGCAAGGAUGAUUAGAUGAACAUGAGAUGUACCUCCUAGCACAUCUUUGGUCCGUGGUCUUCACUUGAGGCAUCCAGUAGGUCUGCUUCACUGUCUGGUAGUGUUUACUUUGUAUUCAAAGGUGUACUACAGAGCAAUUUCUCAGACAAGGCCACACAAGGAACUGAGUCCUCCUUCUUUUAUAAUUACUCAAUGUGCCUGCCUCCAUGCCUUGUUCCUGCCUUUCUGCUUCCCUGCCCUCCUGUUUUACAUCAGUGUCUCACUCUGUAUUUGAGCUUGGUUUGAACUUGUAGGAAGCCUCCAGUCUCAGUGUGCCAGUGUCUGGGUUUAUAGGCAUUAACCAUGACUAGAAUGAAUAUUUCACCCUAUUGGUUUUAGGCAAAUGUAUCAAAUCAAGGCACUCUUCAAAGCAACAAAAUACAAUCAUCAUCAAAUCCAA